rnacentral:rRNA from 1 species
AUACGGAGGGGGCAAGCGUUAAUCGGAAUUACUGGGCGUAAAGCGCGCGUAGGCGGUCAGGUCAGUCGGAUGUGAAAGCCCCGGGCUCAACCUGGGAACUGCAUUCGAUACUGCCUGACUAGAGUAUGGUAGAGGGAAGUGGAAUUUCCGGUGUAGCGGUGAAAUGCGUAGAUAUCGGAAGGAAAACCAGUGGCGAAGGCGGCUUCCUGGACCAAUACUGACGCUGAGGUGCGAAAGCGUGGGGAGCAAACAGGAUUAGAAACCCUAGUAGUCC